rnacentral:tRNA from 2 species
GGGCCCGUGGCCAAAUGGAUAAGGCACUAGACUUCUAAUCUAACGAUUGUAGGUUCGAAUCCUACCGGGCUUA